rnacentral:rRNA from 1 species
AGUGAAGCGGCAACAGCUCAAAUUUGAAAUCUGGCGUCUUCGGCGUCCGAGUUGUAAUUUGCAGAGGGCGCUUUGGCAUUGGCAGCGGUCCAAGUUCCUUGGAACAGGACGUCACAGAGGGUGAGAAUCCCGUACGUGGUCGCUAGCCUUUACCGUGUAAAGCCCCUUCGACGAGUCGAGUUGUUUGGGAAUGCAGCUCUAAAUGGGAGGUAAAUUUCUUCUAAAGCUAAAUACUGGCCAGAGACCGAUAGCGCACAAGUAGAGUGAUCGAAAGAUGAAAAGCACUUUGGAAAGAGAGUUAAAAAGCACGUGAAAUUGUUGAAAGGGAAGCGCUUGCAGCCAGACUUGCCUGUAGUUGCUCAUCCGGGUUUCUACCCGGUGCACUCUUCUACGGGCAGGCCAGCAUCAGUUUGGGCGGUUGGAUAAAGGUCUCUGUCAUGUACCUCUCUUCGGGGAGAACUUAUAGGGGAGACGACAUGCAACCAGCCUGGACUGAGGUCCGCGCAUCUGCUAGGAUGCUGGCGUAAUGGCUGUAAGCGGCCCGUCUUGAAACACGGACCAAGGAGUCUAACAUCUAUGCGAGUGUUUGGGUGUCAAGCCCGAGCGCGUAAUGAAAGUGAACGGAGGUGGGAACCUUUCGGGGUGCACCAUCGACCGAUCCUGAUGUCUUCGGAUGGAUUUGAGUAAGAGCAUAGCUGUUGGGACCCGAAAGAUGGUGAACUAUGCUUGAAUAGGGUGAAGCCAGAGGAAACUCUGGUGGAGGCUCGCAGCGGUUCUGACGUGCAAAUCGAUCGUCAA